UUCAAAGUGCGCAGUUCGCUUGUUUUGUUUACGAAGAUGGCAGACGAUCCGGCGGCUGGACCCUCGCGUGAACGACGUCUUUCUGGCGAUUCUGUCGCAUCUGCAAUUGAUUAUUCUGCUGUUUCUAGCAGCAGUGACUGAGGAUAAUAUCGGAUCGUCGGAUUUUAGUUCUGACGAUGGAGAUUCGCAAAACCAGCCCAGAUCGUCGUCAGCUGUUCGGCGUGUCUCUACAGUAUAUGGUGGAGGUUUGCUGCCAUCAGCCCAGCAGAGAGUGGCGUUUAGCCCGAGAACCAAGCCUUAACCUCGGAAUGGUGCUGCGCAGUGAAGCAAAGCGGCUCACAAAAGCGAUCGACGUUUUUGUGAUGUUUUUUCACACUGGAGGUAGUAAAUAGGAUUUGUGUGAACACAAAUAAAUAUGCGUGGACGCAAAUCCUGAAGAAGCAGUCCUAUGCCGAGGCUGAUGGUUCGUAGAAAGAGGUGACGGCCGCAGAGAUGAUGAAAUUCAUUGGCCUGCUGAUCAAUAUGGGCAUCGUCGAGCUGCCACGGCUACAUCUCCACUGGAGCAGAGGCUCCUUGUUUCCGGGUUUCGUUCCUCCCAAAAUAAUGUCGAGAACGCGUUUUUUUUUUUUU